UUUUUAUACAUAAAAAACUACUGUACACUCUUCAUUUCCAACCACCACCUCUUCCUAUCUUCUCCCGCCCCUCUCCUUCCACACAUCAACUACCAGCAACAAAAUUAACGAAUUCCCACUUCACAGGUUUGGAUUUGUAAACGUUGAGGGUUCCGAUUUGUAAACAUAGGCUUCUAUUGGAAACUAGGGUUCCGAUUUGAAAAGGAUUUUGCUAUCAGCAAGUAUCAACCGAUUCAUCCUUCACAUCUCCAUCCCUCUGGUAUAUUUUUUUGGCCAAACCGGGGUGAAAAGCGCAGAGGCGGAGGUUAUAAACAACGAGGUUGCUGCCGAUGACGGGAGACCUUCAUCUCCGCCAGAUGGUGAGGAGGAGUUCAUUGAUGAUGAUGGGACUGUGUACAAGUGGGACAAGACGCUUAGAGCCUGGGUUCCUCAGCCAAGAUGACUGAUGGUCGAGCAGCGACCCCGGCGGGACUUAUUUCAGCAUCAAUAGCACAUGCUUUUGCACUAUUUGUUGCAGUUUCGGUUGGUGCUAACAUAUCAUGGGGUCAUGUGAACCCAACUCUGUUUCUGUUAUAUAAAUGAUAACCCUGAUUCUAAAAAAAUAGGAUACCCCUGACUUUUUGAGCUAGUUCCGCCACAGCAUAAAGGGGUUCAUCCCCCACCUCCCUAGGUUCAUCCCCUCCAAACCACUCCUACGUGGCGCCGACGUGGCGGCCCAUCCCCUUGGGGAUGAGGCUCUCCAUACCCUUUAGUCUUAGGGGAGUCCCCUCUCUUACACACACCCAAUCAGCACGCGUCAUGUCAACUCUCCUCUUAACUCUCCUCAAACCCUCAAUUUGAUGGCGGCACUCCUCUCUUAGGGGACUUGCUUUUU
rnacentral:lncRNA from 1 species